AACACUUAAGACUCCUGACUCCCAGAACUGGAGUGACAGUUCCUCAUGUUAAAAUGAUCAGAAUAUCUGGCGGAUGAUCUCUCGUCGCUCGGGGACAAGUUUGUACUGGAUAACCUCCUCCAGCUCGGACAGCAUGUGGCAAGAAACCAUGGCCUGAUGGAAGCAAAUCACAUUCCAAACUAAUUACUGCACAAACAAUCCAAAAGACAGGAUUUAAAUCAUUCCUUCUGGUGUCAGGGUAUCUGCUGAUCAGAGAAAACAGGCAUGUUUCCAGCAGCCUGGACGAAGAGAGAAAUUUGCUGAAGAAAGGCAUUUUCCCAGAAGUGAAUGGCUUGAGAGGAGGUAUUAUCCAAUUUCUCAUCAAAGACAGAAAUGCAUGGCAUCCAAAACUUUAACAUCUAUCUAAGGAUGGGGCUGGUUACCAGAAAGACCAAGUAAUUACCAGGUUUGAACUUUCAGCCCUGUCCACUGACAUCCAGGAAAGGUGAAGAGGUUGAAAAUUAAAGGCAAUAAAAACUCUUGAACAAUGAGCUUCCAGGUUGAUGAAGGUGCUGGGAGGGUGAUGGUAAACCCCAGUACCACACAGGACAUAAACUUCUGCACUCUAGACCCUUCUAGACCUUCCCUCAUUGUAUCUGUUCAUCUGUAUCUUGUAUAAUACCCUUUAUAGGAAACCAG